rnacentral:rRNA from 1 species
AACGCGAAGAACCUUACCUACCCUUGACAUGUCUGGAAUUCCGAAGAGAUUUGGAAGUGCUCGCAAGAGAACUGGAACACAGGUGCUGCAUGGCUGUCGUCAGCUCGUGUCGUGAGAUGUUGGGUUAAGUCCCGCAACGAGCGCAACCCUUGUCAUUAGUUGCUACGAAAGGGCACUCUAAUGAGACUGCCGGUGACAAACCGGAGGAAGGUGGGGAUGACGUCAAGUCCUCAUGGCCCUUAUGGGUAGGGCUUCACACGUCAUACAAUGGUCGGGACAGAGGGUCGCCAACCCGCGAGGGGGAGCCAAUCCCGGAAACCCGAUCGUAGUCCGGAUCGCAGUCUGCAACUCGACUGCGUGAAGUCGGAAUCGCUAGUAAUCGCGGAUCAGCAUGUCGCGGUGAAUACGUUCCCGGGUCUUGUACACACCG